rnacentral:lncRNA from 1 species
GUUGAUUGACAGUUGAGAGGCGGGACCAAAGAGACAAAGGUUAACCCCGCAAGCACAAUUAGUUCCUCUGGGCAAUUGGGUGGGCGAUUAAGGCGGCCACCACUCCUGACAUAGUGCAGCACCUCGAGGUUGGUUCGUGCAGGGUACGGCUGCUGACCAAGUGUCAGGAUCUCCCAUAGUAAGACUCCAAAUGCCCAAACAUCAGAAUGGCUUGUAAACACUCCAUCAACCAAGGAUUCUGGUGAUAGCCACCUCACUGGUAACAGUCCCUCUCCCUACAAGUAAAUUUGGCUUUACUAAAUACAAUGUGAUUAUGCAUAUACAGUGGCACCUCGAUUAACGAGCGGCUCUAUCUACGAGCAUUUCGAGUAACGAGCGAGCCACUUGCAGAACAUUUGUCUCUACUACCGAGCGUUUCCACUGGUUCUUGGACACCUUUUACGACAAUUUUGUUGUUGUUUCGAAAGACGAGUUUUCCACAUGACGAGCUCGAUGCCGGAACGGAUUAAACUCGUUAAUCGAGGUUCCACUGUACAAGUACUGUAUAACAAUAUGUAAUUAUACAUAUAUAUGUUUUUUCAGUAUCUUAUUCAGUCUGUAAAUAAGUAGAGUAUCUUUUAUUUAGUAUGUACUGUAUAUAACAAAAUAAUUUCUUAUUUUGCAAAACAAUUUAAUAACUCAAAGUUUCUUUUUUUUGUGAAUUUCCGAAACUAAAUUUUAUAAUUGCAUGAUUGCUAAUCUCCGGUAAGAUGCAAAGAAAAUUACAACACUACACUCUACUGUACUUUUAAAUAGAUAAGACAUAAAUAAAUGCAUUUAAAUAACAAAUGUAAACAAAAAUACUGUACCUCCUUCCUAUAGUAAUCAUUUUUGUAUAUGUCUCGGGCAAGUCCAAAAUCACCAAUCUUUACAAUACGUAAUUCAGGAUCAGUGGUCGAGACAAGACAAUUUCGUGCAGCCAAAUCACGGUGAACAUAGUGCAUUUCCUCCAAAUAUACACAACCUUUUGCCACAUCAAGACACAUGGCCACCAAGUCUGAUAGUGUCAAGCUGCACUCGGCCUAAGGUGGGGAGAAGUAUUUAUAAGAACAGCUACAGAAAUAUUUAUAUUUAUAAUAUAAACAAAUCUAAAUGAAAAAUGAUUCACCAUGUAUGUUAAAACUGUCCGAACUCAGAUGGUUGAUUACCACUGACGAUUAUUGCGACCACAUAUUUUUCUGAAGCUUAAACUCACCCCUCGACUUGUACGAAGAUAGGAGAGAAGAUCGCCACCUUCCAUAAGCUCAAGGAUAAGGAAGAAAGGAUCAUGAUCUGUACACACGGCCAAAAGACGCAAGAUAUGUUCAUGCUGGAAAUGACUCAUCAAUUGAGCUUCCUUUAGGAACUCUGCCUUUUCUCCCUCUGUUGCUCCUUUACGAAGGGUCUGGAGGACAAUAACAGCUUUCAUUACUAAAUGACAUCAAAAUAAUUACAUUUCAAUAGUUAUAUUUCAAAUAAAAAUAAUCAACAUCUAAUGAUGCAAUAUCAAGAAAACUUACAAUCAUGUUCCAAUAGCAUAGUCUUAAAUUAUUUAUAUUUAUCAAAUUUUAUUACAGUACUGUAUAUUAUUAUGGUAAUGAUACUGUACAAUACACAGUAAUUUAUGUUCAUUUGUUAAAUGUAUAAUAACUUCAGUUUCAAAAUAAUGGUGGGUAUUCCAUAUACUGUACUGUACAUUUAAAUAAAACAAAAUCCUGGAUAUAC